CAUGCAGUCGAACGAUGAAGCCGCUUCGGUGGUGGAUUAGUGGCGAACGGGUGAGUAACACGUGGGCAAUCUGCCCUCCACUCUGGGACAAGCCCUGGAAACGGGGUCUAAUACCGGAUACGACACGGGAUCGCAUGAUCUCCGUGUGGAAAGCUCCGGCGGUGGAGGAUGAGCCCGCGGCCUAUCAGCUAGUCGGUGGGGUAAUGGCCUACCGAGGCGACGACGGGUAGCCGGCCUGAGAGGGCGACCGGCCACACUGGGACUGAGACACGGCCCAGACUCCUACGGGAGGCAGCAGUGGGGAAUAUUGCACAAUGGGCGAAAGCCUGAUGCAGCGACGCCGCGUGAGGGAUGACGGCCUUCGGGUUGUAAACCUCUUUCAGCAGGGAAGAAGCGAAAGUGACGGUACCUGCAGAAGAAGCGCCGGCUAACUACGUGCCAGCAGCCGCGGUAAUACGUAGGGCGCAAGCGUUGUCCGGAAUUAUUGGGCGUAAAGAGCUCGUAGGCGGCUUGUCGCGUCGGUUGUGAAAGCCCGGGGCUUAACCCCGGGUCUGCAGUCGAUACGGGCAGGCUAGAGUUCGGUAGGGGAGAUCGGAAUUCCUGGUGUAGCGGUGAAAUGCGCAGAUAUCAGGAGGAACACCGGUGGCGAAGGCGGAUCUCUGGGCCGAUACUGACGCUGAGGAGCGAAAGCGUGGGGAGC
rnacentral:rRNA from 1 species